rnacentral:rRNA from 1 species
AGGACGAACGCUUGCGGCGUGCCUAAGAAAUGCAAGUCGAGCGGAGUUUAAGAUUUCGGUUUUAAACUUAGCGGCGAACGGUCGCGUAACACGUAGGCAACCUGCCCCGAAGACUGGGAUAGCCCACCGAAAGGUGGAUUAAUACCGGAUGUGAACAACGAUUGGCAUCUUUUGUUGUUUAAACGAUUCAAACGGCUUUGGGAUGGGCCUGCGGUCUAUCAGCUAGUUGGUGAGGUAAUUGCUCACCAAGGCGACGACGGAUAGCUGGUCUGAGAGGAUGGUCAGCCGGACUGGGACUGAGAUACGGCCCAGACUCCUACGGGGGGCAGCAAUUAGGAAUCUUGCGCAAUGGGGGCAACCCUGACGCAGCGACGCCGCGUGUGUGAUGACGUCUUUCGGGAUGUAAAGCACUUUUAGCAGGGAAGAAGAAUGUGACGGUACCUGCUGAAUAACGCCCCGGCUAACUACGUGCCAGCAGCCGC